GAUGAACGCUGGCGGCGUGCCUAAUACAUGCAAGUCGAGCGAACAGACGAGGAGCUUGCUCCUCUGACGUUAGCGGCGGACGGGUGAGUAACACGUGGAUAACCUACCUAUAAGACUGGGAUAACUUCGGGAAACCGGAGCUAAUACCGGAUAAUAUAUUGAACCGCAUGGUUCAAUAGUGAAAGACGGUUUUGCUGUCACUUAUAGAUGGAUCCGCGCCGCAUUAGCUAGUUGGUAAGGUAACGGCUUACCAAGGCGACGAUGCGUAGCCGAACUGAGAGGGUGAUCGGCCACACUGGGACUGAGACACGGUCCAGACUCCUACGGGAGGCAGCAGUAGGGAAUCUUCCGCAAUGGGCGAAAGCCUGACGGAGCAACGCCGCGUGAGUGAUGAAGGUCUUCGGAUCGUAAAUCUCUGUUAUUAGGGAAGAACAAAUGUGUAAGUAACGAUGCACGUCUUGACGGUACCUAAUCAGAAAGCCACGGCUAACUACGUGC
rnacentral:rRNA from 1 species